AGCAUAUCAAUAAGCGGAGGAAAAGAAACCAACAGGGAUUGCCCUAGUAACGGCGAGUGAAGCGGCAACAGCUCAAAUUUGAAAUCUGGCUCUCGGGCCCGAGUUGUAAUUUGUAGAGGAUGCUUUUGAUGCGGUGCCUUCCGAGUUCCCUGGAACGGGACGCCAUAGAGGGUGAGAGCCCCGUCUGGUUGGAUGCCAAAUCUCUGUAAAGCUCCUUCGACGAGUCGAGUAGUUUGGGAAUGCUGCUCUAAAUGGGAGGUAUAUGUCUUCUAAAGCUAAAUAUUGGCCAGAGACCGAUAGCGCACAAGUAGAGUGAUCGAAAGAUGAAAAGCACUUUGAAAAGAGAGUUAAAAAGUACGUGAAAUUGUUGAAAGGGAAGCGUUUAUGACCAGACUUGGGCUUGGUUAAUCAUCUGGGGUUCUCCCCAGUGCACUUUUCCAGUCCAGGCCAGCAUCAGUUUUCGCCGGGGGAUAAAGGCUUCGGGAAUGUGGCUCUCUCCGGGGAGUGUUAUAGCCCGUUGCGUAAUACCCUGGCGGGGACUGAGGUUCGCGCAUCUGCAAGGAUGCUGGCGUAAUGGUCAUCAACGACCCGUCUUGAAACACGGACCAAGGAGUCGUCUUCGUAUGCGAGUGUUCGGGUGUCAAACCCCUACGCGUAAUGAAAGUGAACGCAGGUGAGAGCUUCGGCGCAUCAUCGACCGAUCCUGAUGUUCUCGGAUGGAUUUGAGUAAGAGCAUACGGGGCCGGACCCGAAAGAAGGUGAACUAUGCCUGUGUAGGGUGAAGCCAGAGGAAACUCUGGUGGAGGCUCGCAGCGGUUCUGACGUGCAAAUCGAUCGUCAAACAUGGGCAUGGGGGCGAAAGACUAAUCGAACCUUCUAGUAGCUGGUUUCCGCCGAAGU
rnacentral:rRNA from 1 species